GGGGCUGAUUCUGGAUUCGACGGGAUUUGCGAAACCCAAGGUGCAUGCCGAGGGGCGGUUGGCCUCGUAAAAAGCCGCAAAAAAAUAGUCGCAAACGACGAAAACUACGCUUUAGCAGCUUAAUAACCUGCUUAGAGCCCUCUCUCCCUAGCCUCCGCUCUUAGGACGGGGAUCAAGAGAGGUCAAACCCAAAAGAGAUCGCGCGGAUGCCCUGCCUGGGGUUGAAGCGUUAAAACGAAUCAGGCUAGUCUGGUAGUGGCGUGUCCGUUCGCAGGUGCCAGGCGAAUGUAAAGACUGACUAAGCAUGUAGUACCGAGGAUGUAGGAAUUUCG
rnacentral:tmRNA from 1 species